rnacentral:rRNA from 1 species
GAUGAACGCUGGCGGCGUGCUUAACACAUGCAAGUCGAACGGAAAGGCCCCUUUCGGGGGGUACUCGAGUGGCGAACGGGUGAGUAACACGUGAGUAACCUGCCCUUGACUUUGGGAUAACUUCAGGAAACUGGGGCUAAUACCGGAUAGGAGCUCCUGCUGCAUGGUGGGGGUUGGAAAGUUUCGGCGGUUGGGGAUGGACUCGCGGCUUAUCAGCUUGUUGGUGGGGUAGUGGCUUACCAAGGCUUUGACGGGUAGCCGGCCUGAGAGGGUGACCGGCCACAUUGGGACUGAGAUACGGCCCAGACUCCUACGGGAGGCAGCAGUGGGGAAUAUUGCACAAUGGGUGGAAGCCUGAUGCAGCAACGCCGUGUGCGGGAUGACGGCCUUCGGGUUGUAAACCGCUUUCGCUCAUGACGAAGCUUUGUGUGACGGUAGUGGGUAAAGAAGCACCGGCUAACUACGUG